AUUGAACGCUGGCGGAAUGCUUUACACAUGCAAGUCGAACGGCAGCACGGGGCAACCUGGUGGCGAGUGGCGAACGGGUGAGUAAUAUAUCGGAACGUGCCCAAUCGUGGGGGAUAACGUAGCGAAAGUUACGCUAAUACCGCAUACGAUCUACGGAUGAAAGCGGGGGAUCGCAAGACCUCGCGCGAAUGGAGCGGCCGAUAUCAGAUUAGGUAGUUGGUGGGGUAAAGGCUCACCAAGCCAACGAUCUGUAGCUGGUCUGAGAGGACGACCAGCCACACUGGAACUGAGACACGGUCCAGACUCCUACGGGAGGCAGCAGUGGGGAAUAUUGCACAAUGGGCGCAAGCCUGAUGCAGCAACGCCGCGUGAGUGAUGAAGGCCUCGGUUGU
rnacentral:rRNA from 1 species